rnacentral:rRNA from 1 species
AUUGAACGCUGGCGGCAUGCCUUACACAUGCAAGUCGAACGGCAGCACGGGUGCUUGCACCUGGUGGCGAGUGGCGAACGGGUGAGUAAUACAUCGGAACGUACCUUAUCGUGGGGGAUAACGCAGCGAAAGCUGUGCUAAUACCGCAUACGCCCUGAGGGGGAAAGCGGGGGAUCGCAAGACCUCGCGCGAUUAGAGCGGCCGCUGCCUGAUUAGCUUUUUGGUAGGGUAAAAGCCCACCAAGGCGACGAUCAGUAGCUGGUCUGAGAGGACGAUCAGCCACACUGGGACUGAGACACGGCCCAGACUCCUACGGGAGGCAGCAGUGGGGAAUUUUGGACAAUGGGGGCAACCCUGAUCCAGCAAUGCCGCGUGAGUGAAGAAGGCCUUCGGGUUGUAAAGCUCUUUUGUCAGGGAAGAAACACCGGCUCUAACACAGUCUGGGAAUGACGGUACCUGAAGAAUAAGCACCGGCUAACUACGUGCCAGCCGCCGCCGUAA